ACUCUCCAGAUUCCUUACCCCUCAGAUCUAAAUAUUGGUUCAAGCAGCUGAAAAAGGAGGAAAAAUGAAACAAGUGGACUUGGAGCCCUUAAGGACAUACAACUUCAUUUCAAACAUAA
rnacentral:snoRNA from 1 species